CACGAGCGACUAGGCUAGUCUAUGUCUACGUUCGGAAAUUUUAAUUUCUCAUUUGCACAUCUUUGCAUCACCUUAAUUUUUACCCUUUAUUGAAAUAUUUGUAAAAAGUAUAAAAUAUUAAAUUCUUGAUUUGGACCUCAAAAACCAAGUUUUUGUCAUUAGACGGGAUUAUUUUUGCCUAAAGCUAAAUUUUGAUUCGUCGGGAAAUGUGUGGACUGUGGUCGAGGAGCGUCGUAUUCAGCCAACCCAGGGAGUAAUGAUCGCUCCGACAAAAUGAGUUUUUUCUUGAAAACCAGAGUUUUCUUUCAUAAAAUCACAAGGCAUCCCUAUGAAGAAGAUGUAUUGAAGUACGAUCAGAAUGAAAGAAGCACUGUAGACCUACUCUGCUAUAAGACAGACCCCAGAUCCACUUCCAUGGCAUUAUCCCUAUCAACCACAAACAAAGGACUGGACAAGCAGAAAGUAAUCCACAGGUGUGAUCACUUUUGUCUGUACUUCUGGGGUGGUUGACAAGUGAUGCCGUUGCAUUGUUGUCAUCAGGCGCUUCAAGUCGUCCUGCAUCCCUUGUACAACACGACCUGUU